rnacentral:rRNA from 1 species
AAACUGCGAAUGGCUCAUUAAAUCAGUUAUCGUUUAUUUGAUAGUACCUUACUACUUGGAUAACCGUGGUAAUUCUAGAGCUAAUACAUGCUGAAAACCGCAACUUCGGAAGCGGUGUAUUUAUUAGAUAAAAAACCAACGCCCUUCGGGGCUUCUUGGUGAUUCAUGAUAACUUUACGGAUCGCAUGGCCUUGCGCCGGCGACGGUUCAUUCAAAUUUCUGCCCUAUCAACUUUCGAUGGUAAGGUAUUGGCUUACCAUGGUUUCAACGGGUAACGGGGAAUUAGGGUUCGAUUCCGGAGAGGGAGCCUGAGAAACGGCUACCACAUCCAAGGAAGGCAGCAGGCGCGCAAAUUACCCAAUCCCGACACGGGGAGGUAGUGACAAUAAAUACUGAUACAGGGCUCUUUUGGGUCUUGUAAUUGGAAUGAGUACAAUUUAAACCUCUUAACGAGGAACAAUUGGAGGGCAAGUCUGGUGCCAGCAGCCGCGGUAAUUCCAGCUCCAUUAGAGUAUAUUAAAGUUGUGGCAGUUAAAAAGCUUGUAGAUGAAACUUGGGUCUGGGUGGCAGGUCUGCCUCACCGCGUGUACUUGUCCGGCCGGGCCUUCCUUCUGGAGAACCUCAUGCCCUUCACUGGGCGUGUUGGGGACCAGGACUUUUACUUUGAAAAAAUUAGAAUGUUCAAAGCAGGCCUUUGCUCGAAUACGUUAACAUGGAAUAAUAGAAUAGGACGUGCGGUCCUAUUUUGUUGGUUUCUAGGACCGCCGUAAUGAUUAAUAGGGACAGUCGGGGGCAUCAGUAUUCAAUUGUCAGAGGUGAAAUUUUUGGAUUUAUUGAAGACUAACUACUGCGAAAGCAUUUGCCAAGGAUGUUUUCAUUAAUCAGUGAACGAAAGUUAGGGGAUCGAAGACGAUCAGAUACCGUGGUAGUCUUAACCGUAAACUAUGCCGACUAGGGAUCGGGCGAUGUUCUUUUUGUGACUCGCUGGGCACCUUACGAGAAAUCAAA